rnacentral:rRNA from 1 species
AUAUCAAUAAGCGGAGGAAAAGAAACUAACAAGGAUUCCCUUAGUAACGGCGAGUGAAGCGGGAAUAGCUCAAAUUUGAAAUCUCACAGGUUCCCUGUGCGAAUUGUAGUUUAGAGAAGUGUUUUCGGGGGUGAGCUAGGCAUAAGUCCUCUGGAACGAGGCAUCAUAGAGGGUGACAAUCCCGUUCUUGGUCUAGUAUAGCUCCUAUGUGAUGCACUUUCAAAGAGUCGGGUUGUUUGGGAAUGCAGCCCAAAAUGGGUGGUAAAUACCAUCUAAAGCUAAAUAACGGCGAGAGACCGAUAGCGCACAAGUA